rnacentral:rRNA from 1 species
CCUACGGGAGGCUGCAGUGGGGAAUAUUGCACAAUGGGCGCAAGCCUGAUGCAGCCAUGCCGCGUGUGUGAAGAAGGCCUUCGGGUUGUAAAGCACUUUCAGCGGGGAGGAAGGCGGUGAGGUUAAUAACCUCAUCGAUUGACGUUACCCGCAGAAGAAGCACCGGCUAACUCCGUGCCAGCAGCCGCGGUAAUACGGAGGGUGCAAGCGUUAAUCGGAAUAACUGGGCGUAAAGCGCACGCAGGCGGUCUGUCAAGUCGGAUGUGAAAUCCCCGGGCUCAACCUGGGAACUGCAUUCGAAACUGGCAGGCUAGAGUCUUGUAGAGGGGGGUAGAAUUCCAGGUGUAGCGGUGAAAUGCGUAGAGAUCUGGAGGAAUACCGGUGGCGAAGGCGGCCCCCUGGACAAAGACUGACGCUCAGGUGCGAAAGCGUGGGGAGCAAACAGGAUUAGAUACCCGUGUAGUC